CUAUACCCUCUUAGGAGUUUAAAAGCCUAUUGAAGCUGGAAGUGACGAAAUCGAAUACUCCAGGAGAAAGGAGUUCGUCGCCAAACAGCUACAAGUAUCGGCUGCUCGCCUGUAGAAAAAGCGAUCGGCUGUAGGUGUUAGCAAUGGCAAGCCCAACGUCAACGCACAGCCUUAUACGCCAUCUCUCCACUAGCCGAUGUAUUCUACGAUGAGAAGCUGAAGCAGAAAUCAGGAAAAGUCCACGCUGCUGAGGAAAUACACAUCAAGACAACUUUACAUUUAACGAAGUUCUGCCCCCGCCCACAGUGAUUGGCUAUAAGAGCAAGAACAUGUUUGCCGUGGACAAGAUCUGUGAGGGAAAAGUCUUAAGUGAUGUGCCGCUUGGGCAACUACAGCGAUGGCACUGUGGAUCUCCAUAUGUGCCGCACUUACUAAAUAGCAAAUAGGCAGCUCAGAGUUAUUUCAAAAGAUUGGAGGCAAUCGAUAUUCCUCGUUCAGCGAGUGCCAAUCGGCUGCUGUAUGUCUCCGGCAAUCCGCACAGUGCCAAACGGAACUUCAACGAGCUGGCCAGACCCGAGUGCAAGCAAGGGAUCCAGUCCUUGUUUGAUACCCCAAAGGAUACACACGAAGAUGAAAAGCACUGUCAGUAGAAGCAGAAUCAGAGGCUGUGGCUGAUUGAAACUACAACUAAUGUAAACAUUAAGACAAACAUGGCACUUCUUGUCUGUACAAAUCAUUUACGUUGCACACAGGCAAUGCCCUUCUGCGUCGUCUGAUGCGCCUUGCUGUCUGUGAUAAAUCUCGCAUGAAGGGCGUCGAAGAGGCGAAUCCCUGCACCGGCUCUCAAUGAAUAUUGAUUGCCUAGAUGACUCUGUUCACUCCGAUCCUAAUGCAAAUCACGCAUUGCGUUGCACAAGCAUGUGGGCAACAUUCCAUCGUUCUUUGUGCGCCUGGCGGCGGUUCUGGUUUCGUCAAGCGCCAUAACCAAAAGAAGAA